UGACUUUGAGGUUUCUUUUAUGUUGUUUUCUUUUGGUUGAGUACCUUUUGCAUCAUGAUUUACUGAAGGUUGUUAAGUAUUUAUCUUCCCGAAAGAUAGUGAUUUAAUAUCAGUUUGUUUAGAACUCUAUAAAAGUGUGCGGGCAGCUCUUUUUAAAACUGGUAUUGGGUGUGAUAAAUAUUACGUACUGUCUUAUAUCUGGUUUCUGAAUUAUUUUUCGUUUUAUCCUUUCUGCUAUGAUGUGGUGGGGUUUUUAAGAGACUUUUAUUUUUUUAUUGUUCUUUGGGGUUAAAAGUACCCUUUGAUAAUGUUUGUGUUACAACAUAUUAUUUUGUUUAUUUGUCUUUAACGUAAAUUUCGGAUUAUUAACCUUUUGGUCGAGUAUUGUAUAAUUAGUAGUUUUAAUAUCCCAUAUUUUUCUCGUAUCUUGCCGGACUGUUUAUUAAAAACAUUUUUAUCACUUAAAUUUUGAUAAUCUAGCCUGCCCUAUGUUAUUUUAUAAAUGGCCGCAGUAUAUUGACUGUGCUAAGGUAGCAUAAUUAGUUGCCUUAUAAUUGAAGGAUUGUUUGAAUGGUAUUACCAGGUGAGUUUUAAGAUGUGGGUUAUUUAUAGAAAUUGGUUUGUCGGUGCAGAACCCGACAGUGUUUAAUAAGACGGAAAGACCCCAAGAGCUUUAUAAUUUUUUUAUUUACUUGGGGCAAGGGCAUAUUUUUUAUAUGUUUUUUGAUCCUCUCGGAUAAGAGGUGUAAGUUACCUUGGGGAUAACUAGGUAAGAGGCGAAGAGAGCUCAUAUCGAUUCGCUUAUUUGCCAUCUCGAUGUUGACUUAAGGUGAGUAUGAUGGCGCAGAAGUUUUCAUACUAGGUCUGUUCGACCUUAUAUCCUUUCAUGAGUUGAGUUAAGACCGGCGUGAGCCAGGUCGGUUCUUAUCUAUUGGUCUCCUGGCUUAGUACGAAAGGAUUGGCUAGGGUUUAUUUUG
rnacentral:rRNA from 1 species